CGAAGUAGCUCUUUUAUGAAAAGAAUUAAUUAAAUGACUACGUUUGUGAAAAGAGUUUUCCAUUGUGUAUAUUGGAAAAAAUAUAGAGAAAAAGAGAAAUGGAAGCACAAGAUCGAGGAAGGAUAGAGGUGGAAAGAUAGAGAAGUUGAGGAAAAUGUGGUAUAUCUUUUUUAUAAAAGAAAAUGAUUUUUGCUCUAUUGAAGUAACUUUGCACCAAAGUAAUGAAAUGAAAAAGAGCAUCAUGUUUGGGCGGUCUGGCUGACUCGUAACCAUCAUGUCUUUCAGAAUGCAGUUUUUUCUCCUGUUUUCACUUCUUUUCUGGUCUAGGAAUGGAUCAUCCGUCUUAAAGAGGCAGCUCGCUAUUCUGAUAGCCAGUUGUCCCAUUAGCAGAGUUCCUCCAUUCGUCCUCAUGUUCGGUUCUCGCAUUGGCUACAGGGCCUUGGCCACGAGUCUUUGGACAUUUGUCUGAUCUUUGACGGUGCUUGGGACAGUCAGAGCAAUAAUGCUGGAACGGGUAUAUUUUUCGAGUUUUGUCUUUGGACUUAGUUUUGGGAGGCGUUUCUCGGGCUUGUCAUGCUUCAUCUGCUCUUCAGGCAGAAUUACAGGCUUGUUUCACUACUACAAAAUGCGUAUUUUAGCGACGUUGUGAGCUCGACACAGUGUAGGGGGCGUCAGCUGCUUGAUAUAGUAUGCGUGUAUCCUCGACGCUUAUUUAAGUCAAAAUUUAUUUCCGACAGGUAAAAGCGUCGAGAUAUACCCACCUGCACGACACUUGACAAAUUUCUUUUGGCCCGCAUCAUGGCAUUACAUUAUAGGAUAAUAAAACCGCCGCUCUACAUACCCUAACUCUCAUAGUUUCAUCAGUUUUAAUUUUUUCAUCUUUCUCCGUACCCAGUUCUCCAAAAACACUAAGAGAUUCAUGGAAUUAGGAUUUGGAUCUGUAUUUUCAGCGUGGUUCUUAUAAAUUGGGAAGCGGAAUUUGCUUUUCUCUCAUUCCUUUGUGCUAGUUAGUAAUUAUUCAAAGAGUAGCAAUUGGGGUUCAGAUUCAAUCCUUAGUGGUUGAGCUAGGUUAUUUUCCUCCCUUUACAGAUCUGGUCUUCACUUUUUGAGUAAUGCCUGUCCUUAUUAUGCCGUAUUAUUUUGCUAGAUACAACGUUGUUUUAGAGGUCAAUGAAUUUAUCCAUGUUAGAAUUUCUUCUUUUUUUUUUUCUUCUGUUAUUUUGCUUUUUAUAAUUGUUGUGGUUUAAUUUUGAUGUCAAAUUGGCCAUUUUGUUUCAAUUUUUGCUUAAUUUCUGAUCUGAUUGAGUAAAUAAGUGGGGUUUUGUAUUUUUAUUUUUUUGUACGAUUUGCUAUGAAUUUUUUUUGGAGUAAUUGGUUGGUUUCUUAAUUGCAAAGUUCUUAUUGUUUAAACAGAAUGGGGAAUUUGGCUAUUUUCUUGAAUUUAUGGUUGUUACUUUAACUUUUUAUUUUAUUCUCUUCUUUAGGAAGUAAUUACAUACAAGUAUUACGGGAGUAGUACUUAGUAUCUUACUCAGUCCCAAAAAAUUAAAUAAUUGGAGUUACUGAGAUGGAUUGGUGUGAGUAUUAGUGUGUGACUAAACCAUUUUAAACCUUAUUUUUUGUUAUUUUGGGAAGCUUAAGUAUCAACUGAUAUUUCCAAAUAAAAAACAAUGCAAGCUAGAUUAAAUAUUAAACCCCUUUUAACAUCUAAAAGACUGAAACCUUAAGUUAUUUAUAAGAAAUCAAACCUGUCUUUUGGGUAGGAACAUUUUUUCUAGAGUGACAAGAGAAGCCUCCUAGUUAUGUUGGAUUACUUUUUGUGGGAGAUCAUAUCUGUUAUGUGGUUGUGUCGGUGUUUUAGAUUUUUCAACAAUUAGAUUUUUUUUUUUUAGAUUUGUCGUAGUACUAAUUUUAGUUGCCUUGAGCUGCAGUUUUGUUUGUCUUAAAAUGAUAUACCUGCAGUUGAUAUUAUCCCAUAAUCCCUUCAUAAAAGAUAUAUAUCUUGAAAAGUUAUCCAAUCUAGGCUCAAGAAUUUCUAGAUUUGGAAUUGUGUGCUAGAAGUUGUGCCUUUUGGAAAUUUCAGUGGUCUGCUGCCAUGGUUCUAUCGCAGCGGGGAUGUUUAUUGCUCUCUUAAAGCCUAUGCGGGUUUAUUGCUUUGAGUUGGGGUGUGUUUGCUUAAAUGAAUACUUUGGCUUUACUUAAACAUGAAGUGGCUAAAUUUAAGUUGGGUGGGCUUCCUAAGAUGAUAAGUAGGUGCUUUGCCCGCGUUAAGGUCUUUAUUAUGUCUCCUGCCACACGAGCAACAAUUGUUUUUGGAAUCUAGAUCAUCUGUGUGUCCUUUCUCUUUCUUGUUUCUUUCUUUCAUAAUAUAGGACCUGAGAUGCAACUAUAAAAACUACGAAGCAGGUUUCUCAAACUUGCAUUGUUUUAUAAUCGAUGGAACUCUUGAUUUCCUACAUCAGUAUGUAUUUGGCAGCAUGAAGUACUUUAGUGUUGUGGACUAAGAAUUUCAGUACUCUUAGCUUCAGCAAUGAAGCCAGAGGUAACUAGUGUUAGAAACCUUGUUAUGCAGCUGGUUACCUUUUUUAUUACAAAUCUGUAGUCUGUCUUUUAAAUCUAAUAUAAUUUGUCUUGUCGGGACUAUAAUCCACUAACUAGAAACAUGUUUUAUUCAACCAACAAAAAUAUAUGGCAAAUUUUAACUUCCGGCUCUAACAUGCUUGUUAUUGAUGCAGGAUGUUAUGACUAUUAUAUGUGUCAAGUCUACAAAUUAAUCAAGUCAUUCCAUGAAGACAUUAAAUUAGCUCCAAUUCAAUAGAGAGAAGUUGCGUGUUUUUCGAAAUAAUUGUAGUAUUGCAACUACGCAUUUUUAUUUAAUGUUAGCAGUUUAAGAGAUCGAAUGUCUUGUAAAUGAAUAUUAGUUUAAUAAUGUUAGAAUAUAAUCAUAGUUUUUUGCAUUA